GCGCUUGUAGCUCAAUUGGAUAGAGUGCCUGACUUCGAAUCAGGAGGCUGAAGGUUCAAGUCCUUCCAGGCGCA
rnacentral:tRNA from 1 species